rnacentral:rRNA from 1 species
GUGUGCGAUGAAGGCCUUCGGGUUGUAAAGCACUUUUGGCAGGAAAGAAACGUCGUGGGUUAAUACCCCGCGAAACUGACGGUACCUGCAGAAUAAGCACCGGCUAACUACGUGCCAGCAGCCGCGGUAAUACGUAGGGUGCAAGCGUUAAUCGGAAUUACUGGGCGUAAAGCGUGCGCAGGCGGUUCGGAAAGAAAGAUGUGAAAUCCCAGAGCUUAACUUUGGAACUGCAUUUUUAACUACCGGGCUAGAGUGUGUCAGAGGGAGGUGGAAUUCCGCGUGUAGCAGUGAAAUGCGUAGAUAUGCGGAGGAACACCGAUGGCGAAGGCAGCCUCCUGGGAUAACACUGACGCUCAUGCACGAAAGCGUGGGGAGCAAACAGGAUUAGAUACCCUGGUAGUCCACGCCCUAAACGAUGUCAACUAGCUGUUGGGGCCUUCGGGCCUUGGUAGCGCAGCUAACGCGUGAAGUUGACCGCCUGGGGAGUACGGUCGCAAGAUUAAAACUCAAAGGAAUUGACGGGGACCCGCACAAGCGGUGGAUGAUGUGGAUUAAUUCGAUGCAACGCGAAAAACCUUACCUACCCUUGACAUGUCUGG